rnacentral:rRNA from 1 species
AUGGUGGAGGAUACCAACACAUCGGAGGCAGUCGGCCAGGGGGGCCAACAGUGCCCCGCCAGUAGCAAUGAAUAUAUUAAGUUGGAACUACGCGGAGAGGGGGGUGGGAACCCCCAAAUAGUUUGUGAUCUCGUGAGUCUUGUACAGGCUCAUUCUCCUAACAUUGUUUUUCUUUGUGAAACUAGACAGUCAGAAAAGUAAAUGAGUAGGAAUCAUGCUCGUUUAGGCUUAAAGGGUUUUGAUGCCUCAGAUAGUGUUGGUCUUAGUGGAAGUCUUGCUUUGUGUUGGCAUGAAUCUUUGUGUUUGGAUGUAAAAACAAUAAAUGAGAGAUAUAUUGAUGCGUAA